AUGGGGGGGCAUGGAAACCCCCAGGGGGGACCAAAGGUGGGGUCGAGGGCUGUCCCUACCCGCGGGGGGGGUCCCCCGCUCUGCACCACCGCGGGACGUGGCCGUGGCGACCUCUCCGCUGCCGUGGCGACCGCGCCGCGCAUCCCUCCCUCCCCGGGCCGGCCGGGCGGGGGUUUAUUAUUAAUAAUAAUCAUCCGUAGCCCCCCGGGCACCUGCCCUCGCACCGAGCCCGCUCCUCACCGGCUCCGUAAGAACUUGCCGGGGGGUGGAGGUGCUCCCGCUGCCCCCCCAGCUCCCCCCCCUGCCCCUUACCUCCGCGGCGGCGCCCGGGAAGCUGCGGGCGCGCCGCCGCCGCGGGCAGGGAUGACCUUGCGGAGAAAUUCAUCAUCCGGGCAGGAAAACAAGCCCGUCCUCGGGGUGUGCGGCGGAGGGAGGGAAGGAGAGAGGGAGGGAGGGAGGGAAGAAAGAAGGGAUGGAGAGAGAGGGAGGAGGGCUGCGCCGGGGUGCCCUCCCCGCCGCGGCGGCAGGGAAAGGCAACCCGGGCGGGCUCGCAAGAGGCACCGGGAGGCUCCGGGCCGCUCCGAGCUGCGGCGGUGGGAGGCGGGGAGCCGGGGAGCCGAGGAGCCGGGCAGCGCUCCCCCCGGCGGCCGCCGGCGGAGCGGGGCAGCCCCGAGCCCCCGCCAGCCCGCCCCGAGCCCCCGGUUUCGGCGCAGGCAUCCCCCGCGCCGAGCCCACCUCGGAGCCGCUCCCGGAGCAAAAGCUACGUGCUCGGAGGGGGAAAGCGCCUGCUCCUCCGCGGUACAAGAGCCACCAGACCUGCAGCACAUCGGGAGGAAAUCCGCCGGUCCCAUCCAGCCCUCCUCCGUGUGUCGCUUAGCUCAGCUAUCCAGGCACCCGACGAGCCAUCAUCCAAAUUUGCGUGGGGCAUUGCAGCGGAUGCAAACGGUGAUGGGCUCCUGUCACGCGUUCAGUUCGGGCUGCUUGCUGCUUUUGAGACGGAAAUCUGGCUUCCGCUAUGAAGCUGGCCGGCCUGCCUGCGGCUAG
rnacentral:lncRNA from 1 species